rnacentral:lncRNA from 1 species
UGCUCCACAGAUCUGACUGGGAAAAUAGCCAUAGUGACUGGGGCCAACAGUGGUACAGGCAUCGGGAAGGUUGUAUCCCAGGACCUAGCUCGGUGUGGGGCCCAAGUGAUCCUUACUUGUCAGAGCAGGGAAUGUGGACAGCAAGCCCUGGCUGAGAUCCAAGCAGCCUCAAACAGCAACCGCCUCCUGCUUGGCGAGGUGGACCUUAGCUCCAUGACCUCUAUUCGGAGCUUUGCCCGGAGGCUUCUACAGGAGAAUCCUGAGAUACAUCUGCUGGUAAACAAUGCUGGAGUCAGUGGUAUGUGC